rnacentral:rRNA from 1 species
AUGCGUCGCCUCUGCUCCUCCCGUCCCUCGCUGCCAUCUCCCGGCCUUUGGCUUCCUCUGCCCCAAGAUCUGUGCGCGUCGCGGUGGAAGAUCCGAGAAGGGAGGCGAGUCUCUCCCACGGCGUCGCUGUUGCACGGCUCGUUUGCGUUCCUCUCAAAGGACCAGGUGGAGAAGCUGACGGGAGAGAACCGGGACGAGGCCUAUGCCGCCGCCAAGAUAAUGAAGCUCUGCGCCGCUGUGGGCGACGGCAGCAGCACCAAGGUGAUGCCCGAGAGGCCACCCCGGAUCCUGCGCAGCCCAUGGUCACGGCCAAGCUGGAGUGGCGCUCCGGGUUCAUGGCCCCCAAGCUGGUGUUGGGCGCGGCGGCGAAGACGCCACAGAGUUGCCCUACGCUGCCCCGCGCCAUGGAGGAGGUUCACGCUGAAGGCUUUGGACAAGUUUGAGGAUACGUUUGGUCCCUUUGAUUGUGGCUUUAUAUUUUCUAAUAGAAAGUCUAGCAGGGUCUGCAUAGAUCAGGCUGGUGACGACAACCAUCUGGAUGAGCCGAGGCAUGAUCUUUACUAUGAAGCACAAAGUUUCUCAGACAUUCUUGAUAAUGAGUAG